CCUACGGGGGGCAGCAGUGGGGAAUAUUGCACAAUGGGGGAAACCCUGAUGCAGCGACGCCGCGUGAGUGAAGAAGCGCCUCGGCGCGUAAAGCUCUAUCAGCAGGGACGACAAUGACGGUACCUGAAGAAGAAGCCCCGGCUAACUACGUGCCAGCAGCCGCGGUAAUACGUAGGGGGCAAGCGUUAUCCGGAUUUACUGGGUGUAAAGGGAGCGUAGACGGCAGGGCAAGUCUGGAGUGAAAGGCCGGGGCUCAACCCCCGGACCGCUCUGGAAACUGGCCGGCUGGAGUGCAGGAGAGGUAAGUGGAAUUCCUGGUGUAGCGGUGAAAUGCGUAGAUAUUAGGAGGAACACCAGCGGCGAAGGCGGCUUACUGGACCGUGACUGACGUUGAGGCUCGAAAGCGUGGGGAGCAAACAGGAUUAGAUACCCGAGUAGUC
rnacentral:rRNA from 1 species